rnacentral:rRNA from 1 species
UGGCUUGGAAGCAGCCAUUCAUUCAAAGAGUGCGUAACAGCUCACUAGUCGAGGGACUGUGCAUGGAUAAUAAUCGGGUAUAAAGUCUAUUGCCGAAGCCGUGGGAUAUCUAUUUGAUAUCGGUAGGGGAGCAUUCAUGCGGCCUUGAAGAUAGAGGAUAACCUCUGUUGGAGCUUCAUGAAAAGCAAAUGUAGGUAUAAGUAACGAUAAAGAGUGUGAGAUGCACUCUCGCCGAAAGACUAAGGUUUCCAGGGCAACGUUAAUCGUCCCUGGGUCAGUCGGGACCUAAGGUUCAACCUAAUGGUGAUGCCGAUGGCAGAAACGGUUAAUAUUCCGUUACUAUCUUUGUUGGCGAUGUGGAGACGGAGGAGUGACACUUCCGCGAGCUGACGGAAUAGCUCGUUAAAGAUUGUAGGUUAUGAGGAUGGCAGGCAAAUCCACCAUCUGAGCUGAAAGUCGAUAGUAUACAGCGUCUUCGGACAAUGUAAUAGUGAAGGUAAUCCUACUCCCGAGAAAAUCCGCUAAGCUUAACAACAAAGAUACCCGUACCGUAAACGGACACACGUAGUCGGGUAGAAUAUACUAAGGCGCUUGGAAGAUUCAUGGUUAAGGAACUAGGCAAAUUGACCCCGUAACUUCGGAAUAAGGGGUCCUCACAGUAAUGUGAGGCGCAGAGAAUCGGCCCAGGCAACUGUUUAACAAAAACACAGGGCUGUGCAAAAUCGAAAGAUGCAGUAUACAGUCUGACACCUGCCCGGUGCUGGAAGGUUAAGAGGAGAGCUUAGACGCAAGUCGAAGGUUUGAAUUGAAGCCCCAGUAAACGGCGGCCGUAACUAUAACGGUCCUAAGGUAGCGAAAUUCCUUGUCGGGUAAGUUCCGACCUGCACGAAUGGUGUAAUGAUCUGGGCACUGUCUCAACCAUGAUUCCAGUGAAAUUGUAGUAUCGGUGAAGAUGCCGAUUACCCGCGAUGGGACGAAAAGACCCCGUGAACCUUUACUAUAGCUUAACGUUGUAAUUGGGCAGUCGAUGUGUAGGAUAGGUCGGAGGCUUUGAAGCAGGCACGCCAGUGUUUGUGGAGCCGCUGUUGAAAUACGACCCUUUGGCUGUCUGGUUCCUAACUCUCAGAUGAGAGGACCGCGUUUGGUGGGUAGUUUGACUGGGGUGGUCGCCUCCAAAAGCGUAACGGAGGCUUCUAAAGGUACCCUCAGACCGAUUGGUAACCGGUCGUAGAGUG